rnacentral:lncRNA from 1 species
GAAUCAAGAAACCAGCAAAAAGGUUGAAAGCAACGAAGAAAAGAGACUGGAGAAUAGCUGCGACCAUGAAGUUCGGAGUCACGGAGAUGAGGAACAAGGCGACGUAGUUGAAGCAUAGCAAGUUGCAGAACAUUGAGUAGAGACACCAAAGGACUUUAGAGUAAGAAGCGUAGAAACCGAUCAUUGGAUAUAUUAUGAUCACAAACUCUGCGCUUUGGAUGAAUAUGUAAGGAACCUCGGUCACAAGCUGAGCCAAUGCGUAGGCAAAGGCAGAGUACAUUCCCGCGAAUCUUUCGCGGUACAUAACAUUACGUUCUGUCUCAAAAUACUGUAACGCUGUGGCGCAGUUGUUUACUCCCAAGAAGAGGACAAGACCGUAGAUAGCUCCGAGGACUGUGAACAAGUUCUGUUGAGUAUCUCUGCCAAAAAAGGAAAGUUAAAUACUAAAAAUAGUAUGAUGAAAGUUAGGGUUUGUAGGGAACUUUUGGUAAGUUAGUUACAUUACAUCUUGUGGCCUUGCUUCCAGAAGAGUAGACCAAAUAUCAAAGAGGAGAAUAAAGUGUGAAAGAUUCGCAUCAGGUUGUAAGAAGGGCUUCUCCAGUAAGACAAGCUCAUCUUCCAUAGACAAGAUUUGAACUGUUCCCACCAGCUCUGCGCAAAGGUUCUGUUGAAAUGCAAGUCGGUUGACCCGGGAUCCGGUUUGCUCAGCUCUUUAACAAGUUCGGAGUUGGUUCUGCGGAAACAAGACAUGAUCUCAUCAGCCUUAUACAGUUUAUGACCGUGUAAGAGAGAUUGUACUAGUUCUACUCACGUGUAGAGAUCUGAGUCGUUGUAGAUUUUAGCGAAAUCAAUGUUGAGUUCAGUCUCUAUGGACUGUGAAGUAACUUCUAGCAUCCAUGUUGCGGGAUUGUAGUUGUCUUUAAUCUUAGCAACUCCAUGGAUACUCUGCUUAUUUAACCCCACCAAAGAACACAAAUAUAGAAACUAAAAUGUCUGUAGCGUAACUAUAUUGUUGUUUCUUGUGUAACACGCUAACCUCAAAAUAUUUAAUAACAUGAGAAGAAUGUUGUCCAAGAGGUCCAGUAUAAAUCAUACGACCUCCUGUCUUCAGAAGCACCAACUGAACAUGAAAACGAUAUUGUAAGAAAAAAAAAAUUUGAUAAAAGAAAUUACAUAAAAGAAAACAUUAUAAAUAAAGUUUGGAACACUUUAAACCUCAUCGAAAGCUUCGAAGAUGUCAAUGCUGGGCUGAUGAAUAGUGCAGACGAUGGUUCGUCCAGUGUCAGCUACGUUCUUCACAGCUCUCAUCACUAUGGCGGCUGCUCUUGCGUCUAGCCCCGUCGUUGGUUCGUCCAUGAAUAUGAUGGAGGGGUUCGCCACCAACUCCACCGCCACCGUCAAACGCUUCCUCUGCUCCGUCGACAGUCCGCUCUGGCCGGCGACUCCCACCAUCGCGUCCUUGAUCUCCUCCAGCUCGAUCGUCUCCAGAACUUGCUUCACGAAUCUCUGCAGCGAAUUUUUAGGUCAUUUCUAGGUCACAGUGUUUGAUUCUUAGAAUCACUAUUAGGGCUUACUAUUUUGGUUUCAGGUUCUAUUUCUGGAACUAGACGGAGCCAAGCUGAGUAAAUGAGAGACUCUUCGACUGUGAUGUUCGGUGAGUGUAUAUCCGUUUGCUCGCAGUAGCCUGAAACUCUUGCAAACGUUUCUUGGACCUUACGGUAUCCACUGAUCUUGAUGUCUCCUUCGAUGUAUCCGCUUGUUUUUCUUCCGGCGAGAACGUCCAGUAGAGUUGUUUUUCCGGCUCCACUGAUUCCCAUCAAUGCCGUUAGAACGCCGGGCCUGAAAGCUCCGGUGAUGUUUGAGAGAAGCUGAAGUUUCUUCUCAGUGUACCCUUGACCUCUCAUCUCCUGAUAUUGGCAAAGAUCCAUGGAUUUUUAUAACCUUUGAUGGUCAUUCAGUGGUAAUGCUAAGUUAUAUGAAUGAAACUAUUACCAUAGGAACGUCGACGUAAUAGUUCAAGUCUUGAAAUGUUAUGGUGAGUGGCUUAAAAGGUAACACCAUCUUCCCUGUUGAAUUAAUUAGGGUUUGAGGGAAAAUUUAGAAAGAAAUAGUUUGCUUGUCUGACAAGAAAGACAAAUAUGUUUCACCUGAAUCCUCUUUUCUCUCUGUUGACUUGUUUUGCUUCUUGUCUGAUGAAUCUUUUGUUCCUUGCAGCUCAGAGAGCUUGUCAUGGGAAAUCAUGGCACGAGAUGACGUUGGAGCUGUCAUUGUGUUAACAUAAGCUCUUUAAUUAGUAUUUGGUAUGUGGCAUUUAUUUGCCCUAAUAGGUUGAAACUUACAUUUCAAGAAACUCAAAGCAAGAGUGAAAAUGGUGUUAUAGAUAAGGGCUAGACCAAACAAUGCAGAUAAGCAGACCCAAUACAUGUAAUCAUCAUAGUUCAGUCCUCGGCUUUCGAGUAUGGUUCUCCCCAGUGUAACAUUUGUAGGUAGCAUCUCCAAACAUAACCAGAAUACUAAUUAGUCUUUGGAAAAUUAAAUGACAUUCUAAACAAGUAAGGGAAGAGAGAAGUUACUUGCUGCCAUCUUGGAGCAUGAAACUCGUUCACAGAGAGUCCAAUCUCAGCAUAACUUAUAGGAUUCACCCAGAAACCCCACUUCAACCACCCUGGCAUAUCAGCUGCAACAGACCAAGGUCAUGUUUCAAGCUUUGGAACAAGAUUGUAAUGAAAUGAAUGAAGCACAAAAAGUCUUACUAUAUGGGAUGGCGAAACCGGCAAAUACAAAGGUGAUUAACACAGCAAAACCACCAGCUGCCAUUGAAGCAACUCCUGUCUGAAAGAUUCCAGCUAUACACCGGAACAUAGAUAUCGUUGUGAAGUGAACAGCAAAUAGCAUAAUGAACUGCCUUAAGAACCUGAAACAUCACAGAUCAUUACUUCACACUUGAUCGUUGUUAAGUUUCUUUCGUUUCCAAUUUAAAACCAACUGGCGGUAACUGAAAUGGUCCAAACUCCUUAUAUAGUCACAUACUCUUUAGAGAUUAAGUUUAUGACCCAUUAAUCUCUACAUAAUGCCAAUAGAUGUGAAAAGAAGGUUUCAAGGACUCACCUGGAGGCUUUAGGAGUGUAUCCGAUGACAUAGUAAGUGAGACAAGUCCAAACUAGAGACUGAAAGAAAGAGAGGGGGACCUUCAACACUGUUGCUGGGAUUGCAUAAGCCCAAGCUGGAUAGAAACAAAGUUGCUUUUGCUUGUAAAACACGGCAAGGCGUUCAACAGUCAUAUUAAGCUCUGGAGCACCAUUAACCAGAAGCACAACGGUUGCGAAAAAGAGGCAGCUCAUGUAAGAGUUUCCAUGAACGAUGUCUACGCCCAUCCGUGUUCGAAUAAACACAGUCAUAGUGAGGAUUGCAGACAGAAGAAGCUGUCCAAUAUAAAGAUUCUUCAGGAUUAACACUAUAAUCUUUUAUAAAAAAAGGAAAGAGAUGUGUAAUAAUAACCAGAAACGUGUCAAAGAGGUAGACAAAGUAGUUUCUCUUCAUGAGAAGAAACUCUCUUGAGAGGCAUGCUCUGAACAGCUCCCAGUUUGGAAGAGAGUAUGCAUUGAAAGAAAGAGAAUCAUUCUGGUGUUUUGAUCUAUCAUAUGGCUUAGAGAGAGCUUCCUCAAGCUUUCUCCCAAUCUCUAAGUCCUUGAAUCUCUUUGAAAACGUUUCGACAGAGACAAAGCUAUAAGGCAAGGCCUGGUGCAGCCAGUACUGUCCUUGGUCCUUUCUAGAUAUAACCUGGCAAGGCAAAACAACUCAUGACCAUGUCAGUGUUCAAGGAAACAGAAGUUUUUGUUUCUUACCUCUUGUAGAAAGUCUGCAACACCUUUCCUUUCCGGGCAUCUAAAUCCACAUUCCUCAAAAAAGCUUAAGACCUGGUCUCUUGGACCGUGGUACACUAUUAUUCCUUGAUCCAUCAGCACAAUAUCAUCAAAGAGGUCAUAUGAUUCUGGAGCAGGUUGAAGAAGUGAAACAAGCACUGUUGCAUUGGUAAUGUGAGCUAGCUGCUGAAGAGACUUAACAAUCUGAAGAGCGGUGGAGCUGUCUAAGCCAUUUGUUAUUUCAUCCAUGAAGAGAGCUUUUGUUGGACCAACGAUCAUCUCAGCUGAAAACAGUUUGGAACUUCUCAGACAGUAAACAGCUGACGGUUUUCGCAUGUUUCUUAGCUAUGAACCAAACCUGUUGUAAGACGUUUCUUUUGCCCUCCGGAUAUGCCUCUUCUCAUUGCAUUACCAAACAAUGUUUCUGCACAAAUGUCAAGCCCUAGGAUCUGAAACAUGCAAUACAAGACCUAAUUAAGAAGCUAAUCAAGAAGGACAAACUGUAUUAGAGAAGCUACCUUCAAGAUGUAAUCUGUUUGUAGACUUCUUUUAAGUCCUUCAACCGAUAUUGCCUGCACAGUUGGAUUUACAAGACGUUUAUAAUAAACUGGCUGAGUUAAAAGAUCAGUUUCAGAAGUGAACCUUCAUGUAAGCAUCUACUUCAGGGUCAGGAAUGAUUCCACCAUCCUUUUCUCUUUUAAUGACCUCCAUCAUAAUAUCUGUUUAAUCCUAGAGUUAUGUUUGUCACCAAAACCGUUUAGAGAAUGCUUUCUUUAUGACAAAAUCUACCUGUUCGGCUAGCAACACCUUGACAACGAGCUGAGAAGUCAAUUGUCUCCCUCACUGUCAUCUCUGCAAUGUGCAGAUCGUUUUGACUUAUGUAUGCUGAUGUUUUCUGAGGAACAAACUUGUUCAGCCCUUGUCCAUUGUAGGAUAUUUCACCAGAAACCUUAAGAUUUUUGUCUAAGUUUCCAGACAAAGCCUUAAGCAAAGUAGUUUUCCCACAUCCAGGAGGACCUAGCAGCAGUGUUAGCCUUGAGCAACAAGAAGAAGCAUUAGUUAUGUUUCAUUACACAAAUCUCAAGGGUUGGAUCAAAAGAGAGAUACUACCUCCCCGGGUUAAUGAUGCCGCUAACAUCAUUAAGUAUGCUUAUCUUGGCUUCUUGUGUUCUUACACCACUCAGCUUCACCAGUUCCUGAAAGAGAAAAAGAGUAUAUAACUCAACACGAGCUUACUUCCAUGUUGCAAUAUGCAUUAUAGUAUACUCACUAUGAAAACGUGCUUCAAGGAGUUCCAUAAAGUUGGAAGCGCCUUCCCUUCAACGACCUCGCACUCAGCUUCAACACUUAAAUUCUCAUACCUCACUUCUAUGCUCGGAAACUCCACCCCAACCCUGCAAGUAAGCAAUUCAGUUUCAAGCUCAAGUUCAAGAUUCACAAGGUUUGUUUCCUUAUCUAGUAAUUUUCACCUGUCUAUUCUUUUUCUGAUCUUCUUGAGCAGCUUGAGAUUAUCAUUCUCAAUGUGUUUGAUCAGCUUCUCAAUCAUCAGAUGACGUUCCAUGGCUCCUAGCUUGGUGACAUCAGCCACCCUCUUCCCAUUCUCCUCAGACUCACCUUCUUCAUCGACCAGAGAUGAUCUCAGCCGCUCAAAAGUUGGCAAUCUCUGGAUCUCAGCCCAUUGGAGAGCAUACUCUGCCUCAUCCUCAGGCUCACUUCUUGAAGAGCUUCUCCUGAAACUAGUUCCCAUAUUUCUUCCAAUCUCUGAAAGCUCCACUCUCAUUUCUUCUCCACCCAUCUGAGUCAAGCCUCAAAGAGUCCCAAGUUUUCUGAUCAAAUAUGAGGUAUACCUUUUUAUUCUAUUAAUAAUACAUAUGUAAUUGUACUUUUCAGACUUAGAAUAGUGAGGUGGUGGAAGAUAUAAAGGUGUUAAAAAGUUCUAAUGAAAAAUAUAUUAUAAGACACAACCAGCUUGUAUUGAAGUUCCUUUUAUUUACUGAAAGUGAGAUUAGCAAACACUUUGAUUCAGUUAUACUGGUAAUCUAUAAGCCACUAAAAGUAAAUUAAUGUAAGUUUCAUAUUUCAAAAAUGAACUACUAUUAGUUGAUAGUUUCAUCAUAUUUUAUGGAUAACUUCAAAUCCUAGCAAUCUCAGUAGGUGAUAUAUGACAUGGUGUGUUUGCCUCUAUCUAAAGGUGGAUGCCUGAUGUUGCUUUCAUGUGGUUGGAAUUUUAUUCUUCUUUUGUAGUUUCCUCCCACUUUCCAGUGCUUAGGUGGGGAGCCAAUGGGCCGGCCCAUCUACAGAGAAUGUUCUUUCUUUAGCAGUUUUCGAUCGUGUGGGUCCACGGGUAUGACAAAAAUUAUCAAAACUUGUACGAACGGUUAUUAUUGCUUUGGCUUGUCGUUGAUACGCUUCUUGUAUAAAAAAAGCCACUACUAAUAGGUUAUUAUUGGUUUGGCCUUAUGUUGGCAGCAUGUGUCCUUGGUUAUACAUUCUCAUCAAUAUAUUUUUGACUAGUUGAUAAGUAUUCUAACAUAAAAAAAUACAUAAAGAAAAGCUUGAGUUGUUUUGAUGAUGCAUCUAUCGUUUUUGAAAGUUAAGCUUGGCGACAAAGAAAGCAAACAUAGAAGCUAGUGCAAUGGGAAAUGCGAUGAGAAUAAUGGCUGAAAAGAUCAAACGAUCAUGAUGGAAUCCAAAGUAGUCCUCUAAGAAUCUUGCAACGGUCGUGGACUCUCCAAAUGCAUCGAUCGUUUCAUGUAUGUCACCGUACUGAGACGAGAAAAACACGUUGAGCGUCCAAGAGGUUGGAGCUAGAUAGUAAAGCCAUACCCACCACUUUGGUAUUUGCUGCAUUGUUUCAACAUCAAGAAAACACUAUUAACCAUAGGUCAAAAUGGUAAGGUAUUAAUAUUAAUAAACUCAUUUAAAUAUUAAUAAUAUAAUAUUUCAAAAAAAAAAAGAUAAAGAUGGUCAUGACUGGUUUUAAAGAUCUUACCGGAAGUGGAAUCAAGAAACCAGCAAAAAGGUUGAAAGCAACGAAGAAAAGAGACUGGAGAAUAGCUGCGACCAUGAAGUUUGGUGUCACGGAGAUGAGGAACAUUGCAAGGUAGUUGAGGCAUAGUAGGUUACAGAACAUUGAGUAUAGACUCCAAAAGACUUUGUAAGCAGAUGCGUAUAAACCCAUCAUAGGAUAUAUCACGAUCACAAACUCUGCGCUUUGGAUGAAAAUGUAAGGAACCUCGGUCACAACUUGAGCCAACGCAUACG